GCAGAAAUUGUGAGGUCGGCCGACAUCUAUCCUAAUAGCAGCCAUCGCGAUGGGUCUAUAUACAAAAACUCUAUUCUCCAAAGCAUAGGUCAUGUUACAAAGCGUGAUGAGACACAACUGGAGCCAAUGAAGUUUUCAGAUCCCACUAAUUGCUUUCCUGACCAGCUAAGGUGUUGUAUACAUUUUGUAUGUAACAUGAUGCAAUUUUUCUCACUGAAAUUGGCUAAAGUUUCUGCAAACACAAGCUUAGUACAAUUAUAUGGAUAUAUAGCAGUGCGAGAUUCUCGGGAUUUGUUGCUUAAUUAUAUUGUCAGUCGUAGCAGGGACGAUCCCAUUGUGGUGAAACAGGGUUCUCUCAUUGAGAUGACAGGCCCUAAGAGGGGCAUUAAUAUGCUCGGUGAUGUUCUAGUUGAGUUUGACAUGAGGAUCAAGACAGGAGGGCAAAAAGAAGAUAAUGAUCUGCAACUUAUCGACGGUGUAGUAGAGUACAGCAAAGCAAAUGCACCUUUUCGUCAAUUCACAGAGCGCAUUAAUGGUAAUUGUGGUGCGGUUGACAUCACUUUAGCACGCGUUCCUGAUGCAGUGGAGGCCACAAUAGAUGUUAUAAUAUCAAAAAUGCAGAGAGGAUUCAAUUUAUCUCUCAGCUCGUUUGUGUUUAUCGGUGGGUCACAUAAGGAGAUUGAGCUCCUUUGUGAUAUUAUUGGUGAGUCGUGUGGUUUAACAAGAAGGCAUGCGAUUGCUGUACAGGAGGAGACUUGGAUGUAUUUGAAGUUAAAGGUAGGUCCGAAAGGCUCUAAUUAUAAUGAUGUAGAACGGUAUUGUCAGUUCAAAGCAAACAUUCAUGGAUGUGACUAUCAAGAAAUAAUGCUUAAGCAUGCCUCUAUCUUGGUGAAGGUGAGUUGGUCGAUCAUACCAUAA
rnacentral:rRNA from 1 species